GUGAUCGAGCGACACCGCGUGCAGGACGAAGGCCUUCGGGUUGUAAACUGCUGUCACGCUCUAGGAAUGCCAUGUCGUUAAUAGCGGCAUGGUUGACCAAGGCGAAAGGAAGUGGCGGCUAACUCUGUGCCAGCAGCCGCGGUAAGACAGAGGCCACGAACGUUGUUCGGAAUUACUGGGCAUAAAGCGCACGUAGGCGGCCAAGUCCGUCCGAUGUGAAAGCCCCCGGCUCAACCGGGGAAUUGCAUCGGAUACAGCUUGGCUUGAGGACGGUUGGGGUGAGUGGAACUCCUGGUGGAGCGGUGAAAUGCGUAGAUAUCAGGAGGAACACCGGUGGCGAAAGCGGCUCACUGGACCGUUACUGACGCUGAGGUGCGAAAGCUAGGGGAGCAAACGGGAUUAGAUACCCCGGUAGUCCUAGCCGUAAACGAU
rnacentral:rRNA from 1 species